GCGCGCGUAGCUCAGCUGGAUAGAGCGUUGGCCUCCGGAGCCAAAGGCCGCAGGUUCGAAUCCUGCCGCGCGCA
rnacentral:tRNA from 1 species